UUGACCGUGCAUCUUCUGACAGUGAAAGCCAUAAAGUGCAUCUUUUUUUUAAUGUGAUACCUCAGAUACCUCCUGCAAAAGUAGAUAAAAUGACAUCUUCAUUAUUUAUCUACAGAUUUCUAACAGCAACCUUUAAAGAUUUUUCCAGUGUGGAUGGAUAAGAUACUGCAUUGAAAAGAUUUGGAUUUCAUUCAUAUUCCCUGCAUCCCUGUGGACUGAGAAAAAAAAUUAUCUACUACAAACUUCACUCAUUUAAAAUAUUCCGCUUAUCCAGGAUCGCAGGAGGGGCUGGAGCCUAUCCCAGCUACCGUAGGGCGAGAGGCAGGGUACACCCUGGACAGGUCACCAGUCUGUAGCAGGGCUAACACAGGAGGAAGCUGGAGUACCCAGAGAGAACCCACGCAAACACGGGGAGGACAUGCGAACUCCACAAAGAAAGGAAGGCCCCACCCAGGAAUCGAACUCAGGACCUUCUUGCUGUGAGGCAUAAGUGCUAAUCACCGUGCUGCCCCAGGGCAAAAUAAAUAGAUGAAAAGAAAAACAUAUUUGUGAAGCUCCUAAAAGACUAAAAGUAUGAGAAGACCUAACCCAACAAAGUCUUUCUACUUUACUAAUUUCCAUCUGUGUACAGCUGUCUGUCUUUCACAUUCAGACAGUUUAUUACAGUGGGACACUUGAUUAGAUGGAAUUAGUGAUCUGCAGCCUUCAUCCUUCAGAGGUUGAAGGCUCUGUUAGUAGGGGGCAGAUCGAUGCACUGUUAGCUUCUGUCACCACAGCCUAUGAUUCUUCUGCACUGCCUCACAGACCUACAAUCUCCUGCUCUGCUGUGUAGUUUGAAGGUCAAAGGUCAUAACCAGGGUUUAAAAAGGGUAAAGAAAAAAUUUAUAUACAUCUAUAUACACACAAAAUGCUAGAGAUUUAUUCUGAACUUCAACAACAAUUAAAAGUGAGAGGACUAUUUGUGCUGUUGGCAUCAUCUCUUAUCAAAACAAAACGAUCCUGAAUGUUGUGACAACGAUGCCGUCUGUGCUUGUGUAGUUGCUGCAGUAUAUCACCAAGCAUUAAUUGGAAAUGUAUAUGGUAAGGCUUUUCAACAAUCUUGGUCACGGACAUGUCAGGCCUCAUUUGACAGAGAUAAAUUAAUCUUUAAAAUGCUACACCAAACACCUGCCAAAUCCUCCUGCAGCUGUCAGUCAAUCUGUCAGUGUCCUACAUGGACCUACAGUCCAGUACAGUCCAUGGCUGUCUGCAUCCACCAGGCUGGCAUCUAUUUUUAGGAUGCAUCGUGCUUUCUGUUGUGCGUGUGUGUGCGUGUGUGUGUGUGUGUGUGCGUGUGUGUGUGUGUGUGUGGGCUCUAUAUUAGGGGUGUGACAGCAUGUCGUGGAAAGAUGAGAAGCCGUUUUCUCUGCCAGCAGAACGUGACCCAGUAUGUCUUUCUACUCAACUACAAGCUCUCUCUGUCUCAGUUUGCAUUUCAUUCAGUGUUAACACUUUUUUGGCAUGGCUGUGCAUGUUAACGAAGGAAUAAGCAUGUACUAUUUAUUUCAAAGUCUACUUUAAUUUUAAUGACUACUGGAUUUUAUUCAUAUUUUUACAGAAAAUGUACAUUAUCCCCGCGAAUCUAAAAAUAUAUAUAUGGUAAGUCUGCAAUGCUGAAACAUUUUUCUAUUAAUAGUUUGUAGCAUGUUAGUCAAAUGUGCAUGCAUUUCGUUUGACCAAAUUGCAUGCACAUACAACAAUUUUAGAUUAAAAAAAAUCAGUUGUCUUGUAUUCUUUGUAGUCUUUAAGACCAGAAUAUUCUGGUGCAAGAAAUGACAUCUCAGUUGGACCAAACCAUAAUUGCACAGCUUUAGUCCAAGGAAUUGAAAAAACAACCUGAUUUUUUUUAACCAAGAUGAGAAAAAAGAUUGUUAAUAACAGGGUUAGAAGGUUUCAUUAUCAUUAUUUCUGAUUAGUCUGAUUCAAGAGCAGGAAGAAGGACAUAAAUGACAACAUGUAAUGUGUAAUCUGUGUAGCAAUAAAAAUCGAUAUUACUCCACGUCUGCAUGCAUGAUUUGCCCCAGGCUCAACUGUAAAUGCUAAAUAACAGAGGAUCCACUACAGAGAGUAGAGAAACACAAGAGAGAUCCACAUGUGCGCUGCAUAAAUCUGUGAAAAUUAAAAGUAAUUACUGUUUUUACAAAGUUUACUUAGUUAUUUUGUUUAUACAAUACAACAAAAAAUGAGAAGCAGGAAAAUAAACAUGCAUAGACAUUGGCUGAUAUUAGAUGUCUAUACAUCUUAACUAAUGAGCAAGAACAUCUCCAUAUAGAGCUGUUUGAUGUUCUUACAUGUUUGUUUAAAAAGCACAGAAAUUUCAUCUCUGACUCAAAUGAACUAGAUUAUAUCUUGUUGUUGUAGCUUGACAGAGCUCACUCUACAACCCCACCCCAAAUGUAUUCAUGCAAAUAUGAAGACAUGCAAGUAAAAAGAAACUAAGAGUCUUCUGAUUUUUAAGGCUGUAUGUAAGCACAGUGCUUUGAUCGUCAUGCUAGCAGGCAUAAUGAUUACCAUUAUGAUUGGUUAAUGUGUUAGCAUGCUAUCUUGUGUUAAGUGGCACUUAACACAAACUACAACAGGAGCUGGUGGUAAAAACUCAGGGACUUUUGACAAUAUAUAACAAGAACCACUGGGAUGUGUGCAUCACAUUUCACACAGCAGUUGCUGAGAUAUUUCAAUGAAAAGAGAAAUAUGUCAAAUUUAUGUAGGAGUAUCAAGCAUCAACAUGAUUCAACAAGUCAAACAUCAGAAUUUCUACCAUUUGUCAUGGAAAACAAGUUGACAUUUCAGUCUCCAACAAAAAAUGUCAACCAGCUGAUGGCAGCUGAUGUGUGAAAAGGUUUGUUACACAGAACCUUCUACGAAGUAUUCCUGUGAAACGGAAAAAGGUCAGGCACUUUGAUCAAAUGCAAAGAUGAUUGGAUUAAUCAAAUGUCUAUAAAAUGCUAAUAACUGUCUAACAAAUAUAGUAGAUCAAGAAACACUGGAGAGAGAUUGAUCCCUAAAGCAAGCAAGCAAGCAGCAUAGCUAUAGCCAAGUAAAGCUAGCUAUGUAGUGUGGAAUUAUAUAGCAUUAUAUAGCUUUUUAGCAUUAUACUUUUUAGCAUUGUACUGUUUAAACAUUAUACUUUUAAGCAGGCCCCUGUGUAACCUUAGGAGCAAGAGUAGUUGAAGCAACAUCACAGGAAAAAGAUGCAUAGGCGAGAUACUAAGAAAUAGUACAGAAGUUACAGUAGAUAACGGGGGGCAAAAGGGCAGCGUUAAGAACAGUCUAACACAUAAGUAUAGACUAGAAAAGCAGAACUAAGAAGGAGAGCGUAAACCCCCGGUGCCACACACACUUGAUACAUACAAAAGCGCACACUCAUGACAGUUAACAUGACCCCCCCCCACACACACACACCUACAGUGCAGACAGGAACACACACACACACACACACAUUGUAGAUAGAGACAUGUACAUCACACACACACAUUCACAACUAAGAUAUGCAAUUAAGAAAGGGGUUAAAGAUAAGGCAAGACCUUAAAAGGAAAGGUAGAAGACGAUAGAUGAGAAAGAAGUUGUUUUGAUUGAAACUGUGUAUGACGUAUAGGCGAACGUGAUAUCAGAAUAACAGGAAAGGUGGGAGGUAAAUAAGGAACUUUGGAAUAAUAUAAAUGUAACAGUUCGAAGGACUGCCCUUCGAAUCUGCAAGAGGCUUUAUGCUGAGCUGAUUCCCUCCUGCGCAGAAAUAAAGAAGUUGAUUGAACUGAA